rnacentral:rRNA from 1 species
AUACAGAGGGUGCGAGCGUUAAUCGGAAUUACUGGGCGUAAAGCGCGCGUAGGCGGCUUAUUAAGUCAGAUGUGAAAUCCCCGGGCUCAACCUGGGAACUGCAUCUGAUACUGGUAAGCUAGAGUUUUGGAGAGGGAAGUAGAAUUUCAGGUGUAGCGGUGAAAUGCAUAGAGAUCUGAAGGAAUACCAGUGGCGAAGGCGACUUCCUGGCCAAAAACUGACGCUGGGGUGCGAAAGCGUGGGUAGCAAACGGGAUUAGAAACCCCAGUAGUCC